rnacentral:rRNA from 1 species
UACGUAGGGUGCGAGCGUUAAUCGGAAUUACUGGGCGUAAAGCGUGCGCAGGCGGUUUUGUAAGCCAGAUGUGAAAUCCCCGGGCUUAACCUGGGAAUGGCAUUUGGGACUGCAAGGCUGGAGUGCGGCAGAGGAGACUGGAAUUCCUGGUGUAGCAGUGAAAUGCGUAGAUAUCAGGAGGAAUACCGAUGGCGAAGGCAGGUCUCUGGGACUGACACUGACGCUCAUGCACGAAAGCGUGGGGAG